UAUAUAUUAUAUAUUAAUAUCUAAUUAAAUUAAUCUAAUAAUAUUAAAUUUUAUUACUAUUAUAAAUAAUUAAAUGAUAUCGUUCUCAAAAUUAAGAGUAGACUAAUAUAAGUUACUAUAGAGUGUGCCAUAAAUCAGUCGAUGAUAUCAUUCGCAAAACUAAGCCACUAGUAUGCAAUGCAGAGCGAAUUUGGCAUCGAAGGAAGUGUCAACGUUCGUAAAAGGAUAGAGCCAGAUAUAAAAUUCGAAUAUAUUAAAUCGGUUUAAAGUAGUCGAGAUCGAAGUUUAUUCAACCUGUUUAAUGAGAAAAAACGUUUUUAAUAUAAGUGUAUAGUAUUUAUAAUUUCUUGUAUACCACUACGUUGGGGUUGCGGCCACAUCGUGUCUCGCCUGGAAAGUUAUGUCGCCCUGUUGGAUGGGUGACGCUCGCACAUGAACUCGCCAGCAACCCCUGCACGUCGUUUGCCGAACCGUUAGUACGCGUCAACGCGAGUUACGAGCGUGCACGCGUGUGCACCACGCGUGUAACGAACGUGUGUCCCUUCGCUAAGUCGGGGAUUAACGCGUGUUGCUUCUUUUCGACGGAACAGUCGGUAGCUGAGAAGAGGGAUGAGGAGGAAAACUGAUGAGGAAUUUCGAAGAACGGCGGCUGUUGUGGAAAUACCGCCGAGGUUUGUGCACUGUGUAUAUCGUUUUAUGGAAGGAUUUUUAU